rnacentral:rRNA from 1 species
CACCGGCGGCCCGAGUGGUGAUCGUGAUUAUUGGGUCUAAAGGGUCCGUAGCCGGUUUGGUCAGUCCUCCGGGAAAUCUGACAGCUCAACUGUUAGGCUUUCGGGGGAUACUGCCAGACUUGGAACCGGGAGAGGUAAGAGGUACUACAGGGGUAGGAGUGAAAUCUUGUAAUCCCUGUGGGACCACCUGUGGCGAAGGCGUCUUACCAGAACGGGUUCGACGGUGAGGGACGAAAGCUGGGGGCACGAACCGGAUUAGAUACCCGGGUAGUCCCAGCCGUAAACGAUGCUCGCUAGGUGUCAGGCAUGGCGCGACCGUGUCUGGUGCCGCAGGGAAGCCGUGAAGCGAGCCACCUGGGAAGUACGGCCGCAAGGCUGAAACUUAAAGGAAUUGGCGGGGGAGCACAACAACGGGUGGAGCCUGCGGUUUAAUUGGAUUCAACGCCGGA